rnacentral:rRNA from 1 species
GUAGGAAUCUACCUGGUAGUGGGGACGAACAUGUGGAACGACAUGCUAAUAACCGCCAUACGACCUAACGGGUAGGAAAGUAGGGGGACCGUUCGGGCCUCACGCUAUCGGAUGAGCCUGCGUAAGAUUAGCUAGUUGGUGAGGUAAGAGCUCACCAAGGCGACGAUCUUUAGCUGGUCUGAGAGGAUGAUCAGCCACACUGGGACUGAGACACGGCCCAGACUCCUACGGGAGGCAGCAGUGGGGAAGUAUUGCGCAAUGGAGGAAACUCUGACGCAGCCAUGCCGCGUGUGUGAAGAA